UUUGACAAAUAAAUAUUCUCGAAAGGGUUUCCAAAAAAAAAAAAAACUCAGAAAGCAUUAGGUCAUUUGUUUUUUUCUUCGGCGAUUGAAAGGCGGCGUCUUCGUAGUUUGAGAAAGAUUUCUCCUCCACCAUGAGAGCCAAGUGGAAGAAGAAGCGUAUGAGGAGGUUGAAGAGGAAGCGCCGAAAGAUGAGGCAGAGAUCUAAGUAGUUUUAUCCCAUUUAUGGCCGCUUUCAUGCGAGGGAUUUCUAGGGUUUCAAGAUGUUAAUUUUCUUUCAGCGAAUUUUAAUUUGCAAUGCUACUUUGUUACCUACAGGAAACGAUGGGAUUUUGUUGGAUGAUUGUUUUAAAUGACGAUUUUGAAUUUUUUUUCUUUA